UACAGAGGGUGCGAGCGUUGUUCGGAAUCAUUGGGCGUAAAGCGCUUGUAGGCGGCCUGUCAAGUCGCGUGUGAAAUCCCUUGGCUUAACCAAGGAAGUGCGCGCGAAACUGGCGGGCUUGAGUGCCGGAGAGGGUCGCGGAAUUCCCGGUGUAGAGGUGAAAUUCGUAGAUAUCGGGAGGAACACCAGUGGCGAAGGCGGCGACCUGGACGGACACUGACGCUGAGGAGCGAAAGCCAGGGGAGCAAACGGG
rnacentral:rRNA from 1 species